rnacentral:rRNA from 1 species
UGGCGCACGGGUGCGUAACGCGUAACCAACCUACCCUUGACUGGGGGAUAGCCCGCCGAAAGGCGGAUUAAUACCGCAUAAAACUGCAGCACGGCAUCGUGUAACAGUUAAAGAUUUAUUGGUCAAGGAUGGGGUUGCGUGCCAUUAGCUAGUUGGGGGGGUAACGGCCCACCAAGGCGACGAUGGCUAGGGGAGCUGAGAGGCUGGUCCCCCACACGGGCACUGAGAUACGGGCCCGACUCCUACGGGAGGCAGCAGUAGGGAAUAUUGGGCAAUGGCCGAGAGGCUGACCCAGCCAUGCCGCGUGCAGGAUGAAGGCUUUCUGAGUCGUAAACUGCUUUUACCAGGGAAGAAAAAAGGGGAUGCGUCCCCUACUGACGGUACCUGGUGAAUAAGCACCGGCUAACUCCGUGCCAGCAGCCGCGGUAAUACGGAGGGUGCAAGCGUUGUCCGGAUUUAUUGGGUUUAAAGGGUGCGUAGGCGGCCGAUUAAGUCUGGGGUGAAAGCCCGUUGCUCAACAACGGAACUGCCCCGGAAAC